UACAGAGGGUGCGAGCGUUGUUCGGAAUUAUUGGGCGUAAAGCGCUUGUAGGCGGCACGUCAAGUCGCGUGUGAAAUCCCCAGGCUUAACCUGGGAAGUGCCGCGCGAAACUGACGAGCUGAGUGCCGGAGAGGGUCGCGGAAUUCCCGGUGUAGAAGGUGAAAUUCGUAGAUAUCGGGAAGGAACACCAGUGGCGAAGGCGACUUACUGGACACAUAUUG
rnacentral:rRNA from 1 species